GAGCUCCUGCGGCGGUGACCAGCUCGGGUACCUCGCCACGCCUAUAUAUAGGCCAUCUCGAGCCCCUCCUUGCAUUAACAGCGGCCUCAUUGCUAUCCCACACCAUCCCUAGCCUCUCGGCGGAGCUCCAGGAGCUCUCCUCGCUCGUCUCUUCCACCACGGCCGCCGGUCGGCUCCACCUAAAUUUCGGUGAGCCACGCCUCCUCCCUCCGUUACAGCACCACGCGUAGCCUCCCCACUACCCACCAAGCCUCCCACUCCCCUCAACUAGUUGCCGGAGUGGCUGUGGUCGCCGUCCCCAAGAUCGUCCGCCGCCUCCCCUGCUCCCUGUUGCCACGGGCCACGGCCACCCUGCCCUUCCCCUUGCGUGGCUGCUGCACCAGGCGGGUGCGGCACCUUCAUCCGAGGCUGCCAGUGCCCCUACCUCGGCCGGAGAUGGCUUGAGCCGCUGGGGCCAGCGCCGACGUGCGUUCGGCCUCGCCUCUUCUGUUCCUCGUCGGGAGAAAGAAGAAGACAGGGGAUAGAAGGAGUCAAAACCCGGGCCCCACCCCCCAGGGACCUGUUUGUGGAGAAAUCUUUACAGAUUAGUCCCUGGACUUCCACCUCUCGUAUCUUCGCGACCAUAAUUCCGAUUAAGCCCCCUUCGAGAGAGAAACUUUUUCAGCGAUUCGUUCCGCGAGCUUUCCGCACUUCUCCCCGAUGGUUUCUUCAUCCCCAGGCAAGC